UUUUAUAUGGUGUAAACCCUCUCUGUAAUUCUCAAGUGGAGCUUUAAAAAAAAAAGACAUUUAUUUGUUUUUGCACCAGUCUUUAAUCAGCUUAUUGCUCAACCAGUAACAUGGACCAUAAUUAAUCUGACCACAAACACAACUGAUAUUUUAUCAUGUUGCUUCUGAAUGUGUUGAUAAGUCUAUAACUGUUUUCAAAUAAUUAUAAGGGAGAGCAGGGGGAACCAGGAGCACCAGGCCCGAAAGGUUCAAAGGGGGAUUUAGGAGACAAAGGUGAUGCAGGCCAAACAGGAUCACAAGGGCAACCUGGGGAGAAAGGUGACCAGGGUACAACUGAAAUCAUAGACUACAAUGGAAACAUCAAAGAGGCUCUUCAGAAGAUAACUACUAUUACAGUUACGGGUCCCCCUGGGCCUCCUGGACCAAUUGGACCAAAGGGGAUGAAGGGUGAUCAGGGUGUUCCUGGACUUCCUGGCCUGGAUGGUGAAAGGGGUCACAAAGGUUCAAAGGGGGACAUGGGAAUCCCUGGAAUAUCAGGAGUAAAGGGAUCAAUGGGUCUGCCUGGAUUACAGGGUGGGAAUGGUCUGAAAGGAGACAAAGGAGACAUUGGCUUGCCAGGCCCUCAGGGACCCUCGAUUAUUGGGCCCCCUGGAGCACCUGGUCCACAUGGACCACCUGGCCCUAUGGGUCCUCAUGGAUUCACUGGGCUAAAGGGGGAACCUGGGUUACACGGUCUCAAGGGACUGCGAGGGGAACCUGGGCAUAAGGGUGACAGAGGACCCCUGGGUCUCCCCGGUAUGGAUGGACCAAUAGGGACUCCUGGUCCAGCAGGUCCGAAGGGCGAUAGAGGUGAGAAGGGUGAUGUUGGUGAUCCAGGACCCAGAGGGCCAUAUGGGUUACCUGGAGCUGCUGGAACACCUGGAAUGGAUGUGAGUUGUCAUUCAUUUACUGCUAAUGUGUUGACUUUUUAUCAUUUAUUGUCUCGUGAGUUGCCCUCCUGCAACUUUUCUGUCCUCUAGUAGCUGCCAGCAAUAUCUAUGAAGAUCUUUACCCCUGAAACAAUGAGUAUCAAGGCAUUUGUAAUUACUUGAAGUUGUAUUUUUGCAGGGGGUACCAGGCUUAAAGGGAGACAAGGGCAACAUGGGGGAAAGAGGAGAAAAGGUGACUGUAACAUAGAUGUUGUGAAACAGGGAAUGAAACUUUCUCUAUCUUUGAUUAGAUCUGAUGUCAAUGGACAUUUACAAAGGAGUUUAGGCACAAAGCCUUCAUACAGACUGAAAGUGGACCAUGGAGUGAAAGAUCAGUGUGAAGAUAUUACAUUUAAUAGAUUCUCUUCUACAAAAGCAGUAGCAAAUAGCAAUAUUUAUAGUUGAAGGAAAAAAAAGUUUAUGAACUCUUUGAUUUUCAGCAUUAAUGAUUCACACAAUUUAUAACUUACUGUUGUCUGAAACAACAGACAAACAUGGUUUCCUUAUACAUUUAAAAUCAUUUAGGGUGAUCUAAGAGUGCACACAUUUAUCCCUUCCUAUACUAUGAAUGUUUAUGCAGUGUUUUUGGCACUUUUAUUUGUUUUAGUAAACUGUGUUUGUCUUUUGUUGUGGGUUAGUUAACAUUAAAAAUGUAUUGCUGAUAUUUAAUAAAUAAAUAAAAAAGUCAGGUAUAGUCAAAGGGUUCACAUAUUUUUUUUUACUCCAACGGUAUUUGUAUAAAUAUUUGUUUAUCAUCAUUCAGAAUUUCAUUACUAACAUAGCAUUUUACCAUCCCAUAAUCAUAAAAGUCAGGAAAAAAAUAAUUGUUUAGUUUAUUGCCAAGUGAAAAUAUUUAUUACAGUAAUUCUUGUUCCAGCAAGAAAUACAGAGUAAUUCCAUUGACAACAGGCUCAAUGCUUUUGUAAUGGCCCUGAACUGGCAGCUUCUUCUGCAUGAUUCCUUUCAUUUCAUCUGCCUGUUUCAUAGACUUACACACUGUGCCAGAAUGUGCCACUACAGUAUGUAGUAAGCAGAAAAUCCAAACCCAUUUCAGUUUUUAAGUUGUUUAAAAGUCUACAACUAAGUUCUAACAUGUCUAAAUAUACAGUUUUUUAAAUAUAUAAUUCCUGACAGUGGUCAUGAAAGACGUUUCAUUUAAUCACACUGAAGUCAUGUCAUUUAGCUGUAUACUAUAGAUGUAUUAGCAUGGCACUUGAAAUAAUUUACAGUAAACUUGAUUUGUUUUUUUAUGUUAUAAAUUAUGUAAUAACCUCCCAUUUUCAACAUUUCUUUUUUUCAUAAAGUUUCUUAAUACGUGUAAAUAAUUUUGAUGAACAUUAAAAGAUUACAUGGAACAUAUUUCACAGACAUUUGAUAGACAGGAAUGAAAUAAUGAGUAAACAAUGAAAAAAAAAUUGUUUCAAAAACACUUUCAAAUAACAUCUUUAAGGCUUAUUUAAAAUGUUACAAAAUUAUCUUUAAAAUGCAGCACCCUGAUAAAAGGACGUUUCAUUUUGCUUUGGAUGUUUGUUUGUUUGUUGUUUUUUUUUUUUUUUGCUUUUCUCCUACACUCAAGUAAGGUUCUGUAAGUCAUCAUAAAUAUAGUCUCGUGUAGCCAGACCUUCAGACUGACUGGAGAAGGUCUGGGAACCUUGGCCCGCACAAGAGGCUACUGUAUAUGACUGACAGGUAAAGCAACCUCAUCAUGUUUAUGGGUGUGGGUGGAAAUUUCACAUACUUUUGAAAAUCCAGCAUUUAGUUGAUCCUGAUAAACACUCAUUGUCACAGUUGUAAGCACAAUGGCUUUCUUCUAACAUGAGAGGGUUUGGCAUCGUGGCAUCUUUGUUUCCAGGCUGAACAUUAAAGAACGCAACACACACGUCUCUCGGAAAUCAUGUUUAAUUUAACCAGUCUAAUGACGACUUCAAAUUUCUAGUUUAGUGUGCCAUAUGCAUCAGACGUUCAGCAGACGACUCAUGAGGAUGAUUGUCUGAGGCUGAGACUAUUAUAAAUAUAACCUUCAUAAUUAAUUAAAUACAAUUCCCUUUCAUAGUUUCACUUGAUUCUGCAUCAGAAGCCCAUAUAAAUUGUCUGAAGACUAAAUAUAAACACUGAACGUACUGUGUGCUUCAUAGAAAAGCAUCAGAUUUACGACAGAAUUUUUUUAUUCGUCAUGCUGGAAGCGAUUAAUCUACCCUGUGAUAAACAUUUUUGUUAUUCUUUGCAUUGAAAAUGUAUGCUUCAGCAACCAGCUUGUUUGGAUCUCAUCUCUUUGUGGCUCUUCAUUUGAGGAAGUGUAUAACUAACUUCUCAUGCUUGAGCAGUGCAUUGUGGUACACAGAAGAUUGGUCAACCCACUCUGUUUGUGUGCUUAUAGUGACACCUCGUAAGAUCCCUGGUGUUCCAACCUGAGGCAAUGGAGGCUAUCUUUCUCUCUCUCACUUGAUCAUGUCAACUCUAUUCCUCCAGCUGAAUUAGCACCUGAUGAGCUCUGUGCACAUGGUGCAGUUUCUUUCAGGGGGAGAAGGGAAAGAAGGGCAAAAAGGGGCCUAAGGGGGAGAAAGGAGAACAGGGUGCCCCCGGAUUAGAUG